rnacentral:rRNA from 1 species
GCUUAGCCCUAAACUUAGAUAUUUAACGUACAAAAAUAUCCGCCAGAGAACUACGAGCAAAACGCUUAAAACUCAAAGGACUUGGCGGUACCUCAAACCCCCCUAGAGGAGCCUGUUCUAUAAUCGAUAAUCCACGAUACACCCCACCAUCUCUUGCCAAUUCCGCCUAUAUACCGCCGUCACCAGCCUACCCCAUGAGGGAUUUAAAAGUAAGCAGGAUAACCAAAAACAGUUAGUAAGUCAGGUCAAGGUGUAGCUAAUUGAGAUGGAAGAAAUGGGCUACAUUUUCUAUAUUAGAAAUCAAUUUUACGGAAGGAGACUAUGAAAUUAAUCCCGCAAGUAGGAUUUAGCAGUAAACCUGGAUCAGAACGCCUAAUUUAAGCCGGUCCUGAGGUGCGC